GCCCCAGUGGCACAGUGGUCAGCACUGCUGCCUCACAGCAAAAAUGUUGUGGAUUCGAAUCUAGCCUGGGGCC